AGUAACGGCGAGUGAAGCGGCAACAGCUCAAAUUUGAAAUCUGGCUCUCGGGCCCGAGUUGUAAUUUGUAGAGGGUGCUUUGGCGUUGGCUGUGGUCUAAGUUCCUUGGAACAGGACGUCGCAGAGGGUGAGAAUCCCGUAUGUGGCCGCCAGUCUUCGCCGUGUAAAGCCCCUUCGACGAGUCGAGUUGUUUGGGA
rnacentral:rRNA from 1 species